AUUGAACGCUGGCGGAAUGCUUUACACAUGCAAGUCGAACGGCGGCACGGGGGCAACCCUGGUGGCGAGUGGCGAACGGGUGAGUAAUACAUCGGAACGUGCCCAGUCGUGGGGGAUAACGUAGUGAAAAUUACGCUAAUACCGCAUACGAUCUAUGGAUGAAAGCGGGGGAUCGCAAGACCUCGCGCGAUUGGAGCGGCCGAUAUCAGAUUAGGUAGUUGGUGGGGUAAAGGCCCACCAAGCCAACGAUCUGUAGCUGGUCUGAGAGGACGACCAGCCACACUGGAACUGAGACACGGUCCAGACUCCUACGGGAGGCAGCAGUGGGGAAUUUUGGACAAUGGGCGAAAGCCUGAUCCAGCCAUUCCGCGUGCAGGAUGAAGGCCCUCGGGUUGUAAACUGCUUUUGUACAGAACGAAAAGGUUUCUACUAAUACUAGGAGCUCAUGACGGUACUGUAAGAAUAAGCACCGGCUAACUACGUGCCAGCCGCCGCCGUAA
rnacentral:rRNA from 1 species